AACUUCUUAUAUUGUUGAGCGAGGAUGGAGUUCCUCGUUAAGUUUGUUUCGGUGGUUUUAUUGUUUGCGUCCAGUGUGUUGGGGGUGGAGAUUAUCAGUGUAGUAGAACAGUCGGUGUUUGGACAAGGGGACGAAUGCUAUGGCACCCACGUCGGCUUUGGCUAUUCUGGGACUCCCGAAUUUCACUACGAAUCUCUUUUAAGACGAUACCGAGGAUGUAAGCACGUGGAGGGAAAUCUAGAGAUCACCAACCUCCAGUCGGACCAAAUCUCGUACGACCUCUCGUUCCUGUCUACGAUCGAGGUGGUGACGGGAUACGUCCUGCUCGGUUUGCUGGACCUGGAGUCCAUUCCUCUCACCAACCUGAAAUUGAUUCGAGCAGACAACAUGUUUAACAUCAUGGGAGAGGACUAUGGCCUCGUGGUGGCUUUCACAGACGCCGCAGGGGAAAACAAAAACCGGGGACUGAGGGAACUUCAACUCCCAUCCCUCAAAGGUAGUUGAGGCCUAGUUGAAAAGGGGAAUGAAGGGAAAAGGUGUUCGAAAACGUCAAAUUGUCUUACUCAAUUGUGGUAUUUAGCAUUUUAUUCAAGAACUUUGAGAUAUCAUAUGUAGUAAAAAUUGGUCUAGAUAUAAAUGACAUUCACCCCACGGAUAUAUGACUAUAGUUCCGGUAUUCAAACGAUGUUUGCUCAGUAUUGGUUAAUCUUGCAUAGGCAUUUGAUGAUAAACCUUUCUAACUCUUUCUCCGAAAGAUGGACUUUUAAAAAAAAGCCUAAAAGUUGAAGUUCGUUUUCAUAUUUGACUUACAGAGAUUUCAAGAGGGCGAGUUCUUUUCAUGCAGAAUCCGCUGCUGAACUUUGUCAACACUAUUGCAUGGAACGUCAUAGUUCCAGGAGUAACCAACCCGGUCACGUACGGUGACAGUGCUUAUAACACGACAAGUCUUGAAGUAUGUGAUCCUGCCUGUGAAAACGGAAAUCAACGCUUUUGCUGGGGGCGAGGACCCAAGAUGUGUCAAAUUGUUCACUUCCCAAUAUGUGACGAGCUGUGCCCAGGUCGUUGCUAUGACAGCACAAUAGUCGGCUGUUGCCAUCCAGAAUGUGCCGUAGGAUGCACGGGCCCAAGCAAUUCCGAUUGUCUGAUGUGUAAAUACUUCAAAGCUGGUGAAGCAUGCGUAUCUAGCUGUCCGGGAGGAGUGUCCGUGCGCAAUGGACAGGACUGCCUGGAGGACUGAGACAUUGUACAGAUGUGGGAUAGUUCGGACAUGUCUCUAUCCCAAAUUAGACUCAUGUGCACCGGGACGUUUUCUUUCUCAAAACUCAGUUUCCAUGCAUGCAAAGAGGCACUUACAUCCCUCGCUAAAUAUGAAACCCUUUAGUUUCUUUUACGCGUGUUUUUGCGAGAUUAAUUUUCGAUGUUGUACAUUCCUCGUCUGACCAGAAAAAACAGUGAUUAAAUAAUUUUUAAAAUCAGGAAUAGAGUCGACAAGACAGUGUCCAACAUAUGUCAAAACCAAGGAGUUGACGCGUGUAUUUUUAAAAUGAUUUGCGAAAUAUUUGUAAAAUAUUUCUAUUUAUUAAAUUAGUGUGUAUCUUUAUACAGUAUUGCAAAAAAAAGUCAUUUAUUUAUAUGAUCUGAUAUCAAUGCUGUAUUUUUAUUGAAAUAUACAUUUGAUAGUAGCUAUCGAUUAUGUUUGCAAUAAAUAAAUUUAGGUUCACCAAAACGGCCGAGAGUCCAAUGUAAUUUAUAUACAAUUCAAUUUUAAGCGUUGCUAUUAUUGAAUGAUUUGCGAAUUGAUCAUACAGAAAUAAAGUCUAUUCUAUAAAUUC
rnacentral:misc_RNA from 1 species